CACAGAUUUAGGGCACGAUCGUGACCCGCUCACAAUCCACGAUCGACGCUCGAAGCGAUCCUCGAUGGUACUCGAAAGCUUUCUGAGAUUUAUUGUCAAGAACACAAGUAAAAAAUAUAUUAGUUACAAGAGAUCGCAAGCUAAUAAAGAGGAUUGUUAUCGAAUAAAUAAUUCGUCAUUUCGAUAUCAAGAGCAUCACCGUGACAUCGUCAUUUAAUUUAGUUUAUUUAUUUAGGCAACGUUGCGGUGUCAGAGAUGCGUCGUGCCUGUGAAGUGCCAGACAUCACCUGUACGCUCGAAACACCUGUGUUAACGCACACGCGGGCGUGAGAUGGAUGCAUCAAAAUGGCCUCCGGUAUCGCGCAACAGCGGAGAUACUUUCGCCUCGACUAUUACUGACGGCCUCGUUUUAUUGUCACGUAGCGAACAAUUUUAUUUUAUAAACUCACAGUUUGCGCGUUUCGUUCUUAAAACAGCUUUAUAUAUUUCCGAUACGUGAAAUUCGCGCAAGCAGAGAAAUAUAUAUUCUCUGGUAUAAUAUAAACAAAUAUUACAUCCUACAAUUAUUGCUGAUAUUUAUGUAUAAUGUGCGAAUAUAGAAAUUGUAAGAGACAUUUAUGAAUUUAUAAAGCGCUACAGAGCAUUUAGCAAUUCAGGAACGUUGCUUCUACACGAAAAUCAAUUUUUGUCCUUCGCGAGCGCAAACAUGUUCGAAUCAAUAGACAUCGCUAUGUCGUAUCAUAGUCGACUUUCACUUUGUCACACAAUCAAUAUUUAUGAAUUUAAACUUGUAACUGAAGAAGAUCUCGGUGAAAAUUGAAAAUAUCAUCUCACUAUAUAUCGACAAAAUUUGAUUCAUAUUUAUUUACAUAAAUUUUCAGUUUAUUAUCUUGAGAUAAUUCCAUACCGUAAGUCGUAUUGGUCUUUUUGCAUAUGAUUUGUGUUUUAUAAGGCUGAUGCGGUAAGCUCGCGUACCUAAUGAAUUAAAAAAACAAUGUAAUAGAUAAAAGGAAGAACAUACGCGUGUAGAAAAAAAGUUCGUUUUCGAAAUAAAAUACAUAUGAGAUGGAUAAUGAGGCACUAAUAUUCUCAGGGACGUGUCGUAUCGCGUUUGUAUGACUCAUUCCUCCUAUCAACCAGCGAGGUAAAUGGUUGCUUCGUGCCAUUUCCUAUGUACCUUCACGUACAUAGGCGUAGGAAAAUUGUUCGUGACAACAACCCGUGUUUUCGAUCGAAGAAAUAUUGAAUUAUGUCCUUUUUUAUGCCUGAAACAUCUCGAUCUAAUCUUCUUAUCGUCUCGCACUUUCAAGCAAUACUUUCAGAAGAAAAUUUUUCAAUCACAAGUUUUGUAAUUCUUACAUUUAUGUGCAUUGAAUUGUUUUAAAUUCACAUUCUCAACUCAACGCUUGAGAUCCUUCUCUUCAAUAAAUAUAUUAUUAUAACAUUAAUGUUGAUGUUAUUUUUGCGAAUUGUAACACACACAGUAUUAUUUUUUCAGUCAUUGUCACGGAUGAUACACGGUUCUACGUGCUCUUUUUUACGUUACGUUUAUUACAAUGAUUAAAUCGCGCGUCUUUAAGGCGCAUCGCCACGCUUAUUCAGUUACCGGAUAUUAUGUGUUUUCCGCGAAGCAUGCAAAAACUUUACUCACGCGGAUGCAACACAUCGUUGCAAUUCGCUUCGUGUACCAGCGAACGUUGUAGUACACCUGGUACCGAAUGCAAACACAAUACGUACAGAGGCGUACAAUGCUUCAGGGUGUUGCCUGAUGUGGUAAUAACUGGAAUUUGAAUAG